rnacentral:rRNA from 1 species
UCUUUUUGUUUUUAUUUAAAGUCAGACCUGCCCAAUGAAUUUUAAAUGGCCGCAGUACUUUAACUGUGCAAAGGUAGCAUAAUAAUUUGUUUUUUAAUUGGAAACUUGUAUGAAUGGUCAUACGAGGGAUUGACUUUCUUUAUCUUAUAUUAAUUAAUUUUAUUUCUCUGUGAAAAAGCAGAGAUGUAUUUAUUAGACGAUAAGACCCUUUAAAACUUUAUUUAUUAUAAAAGCAUGAGUUUUUAGUUGUUUUUUUGUGCUAUUUUUAGUGAAUUUUGUUGGGGCGACAGGUAAAUUUAUUGAACUUUACUUUUUUAUAUCACAAAUUAGUGUUUGUUUGAUCCAGGUUUAUAUUCUGAUUAAAAGCUUAAGUUACUUAAGGGAUAACAGCGUAAUCUUGCCGGAGAGUUCUUAUUUAUGGCAAGGUUUGCGACCUCGAUGUUGGAUUAAAAUUAAUGUUAGGUGUAGCCGCUUAAUGAUUAGGUCUGUUCGACCUUUAGUUUUUUACGUGAUCUGAGU